AUACGGAGGGUCCAAGCGUUAUCCGGAAUCAUUGGGUUUAAAGGGUCCGCAGGCGGUCAACUAAGUCAGAGGUGAAAGCCCAUCGCUCAACGAUGGAACUGCCUUUGAUACUGGUUGACUUGAGUUAUACGGAAGUAGAUAGAAUAAGUAGUGUAGCGGUGAAAUGCAUAGAUAUUACUUAGAAUACCGAUUGCGAAGGCAGUCUACUACGUAUAUACUGACGCUGAGGGACGAAAGCGUGGGGAGCGAACAGGAUUAGAAACCCUAGUAGUCC
rnacentral:rRNA from 1 species